CCAUCUAGUAGCUGGUUCCUGCCGAAGUUUCCCUCAGGAUAGNNUCCGCUGGACCAUGCAUAAGUCUCCUGRAAUGGAGCGUCAUAGAGGGUGAGAAUCCCGUCUUUGGCAUGGAUCCUAGGGCUUCUGUGAUGCGCUCUCAAAGAGUCGAGUUGUUUGGGAAUGCAGCUCAAAAUGGGUGGUGAACUCCAUCUAAAGCUAAAUAUUGGCGAGAGACCGAUAGCGAACAAGUACCGUGAGGGAAAGAUGAAAAGCACUUUGGAAAGAGAGUGAAACAGUACGUGAAAUUGUUGAAAGGGAAACGCUUGAAGUCAGUCGCGUUGACCGAGACUCAGCCUUGCCUCGGCUUGGUGUACUUCUCGGCUGACGGGUCAGCAUCAAUUUUGAUCCUUGGAUAAUGGCAAGGGAAAGGUGGCACCUUUAGGUGUGUUAUAGUCCUUUGUCGGAUACAAGGGUUGGGAUUGAGGAACUCAGCAUGCACCUCACGGUGUCGGGGCCUCUGGCUCACGUUACAUGCUUAGGAUGCUGGCGUAAUGGCUUUAAACGACCCGUCUUGAAACACGGACCAAGGAGUCUAACAUGCCCGCAAGUGUUCGGGUGGAAAACCCGUGCGCGUAAUGAAAGUAAAAGUUGGGACCUCUGUCAUGGAGAGCACCGACGCCCGGACCAGACCUUCUGUGACGGCUCUGCGGUAGAGCGUGUAUGUUGGGACCCGAAAGAUGGUGAACUAUGCCUGAAUAGGGUGAAGCCAGAGGAAACUCUGGUGGAGGCUCGUAGCGAUUCUGACGUGCAAAUCGAUCGUCAAAUUUGGGUAUAGGGGCGAAAGA
rnacentral:rRNA from 1 species